rnacentral:rRNA from 1 species
AGAUUGAACGCUGGCGGCAGGCCUAACACAUGCAAGUCGAGCGGCAGCACGGGUACUUGUACCUGGUGGCGAGCGGCGGACGGGUGAGUAAUGCCUAGGAAUCUGCCUGGUAGUGGGGGAUAACGCUCGGAAACGGACGCUAAUACCGCAUACGUCCUACGGGAGAAGGCAGGGGACCUUCGGGCCUUGCGCUAUCAGAUGAGCCUAGGUUGGAUUAGCUAGUUGGUGAGGUAAUGGCUCACCAAGGCGACGAUCCGUAACUGGUCUGAGAGGAUGAUCAGUCACACUGGAACUGAGACACGGUCCAGACUCCUACGGGAGCAGCAGUGGGAAUAUUGGACAAUGGGCAAAGCCUGAUCCAGCCAUGCCGCGUGUGUGAAGAGGUCUUCGGAUUGUAAAGCACUUUAAGUGGAGAAGGCGAGUUACUAAUACGUAUCUGUUUUGACGUUACGACAGAAUAAGCACCGGCUAACUCUAGUG